CGGCGCGUCCCAGCGCCUGGAGUGGGCAGAGCCGGGCCUUUCGUACCAGCAGCUCGGUGGCUGACUGCUUGCUGAGCUCGCCCAGCUCCCCCGAAAGCAUCUGCGCCUCCGCUCACCGCGAGGGCGUCUAACUGCGGCCACGGCCGGGGCAGGCGGCAACGCGACGUCAGGUAAAGGGAAGAAAGGGAAAGUCCGGGUGAAGACCUUCGGGAAGAAGCAGAAGCCUAAGAAGCCGGAAGCUGACAUCCUUAGCCCUGCGGCCAUGCUGAACCUCUACUACAUUGCCCACAAUGUUGCCGACUGCCUGUAUCUUCGAGGCUUCCCUUGGCCAGGCGCUCCCAAAGGGAAAAGGGGGAAGAACAAGAUUUAAGUGAAAAGAACAGAAGGUGGGAGAAAGCACUCAGGAUAACUCAAAGACGGCAGGCAAUAUAGACUUACUAAAGACAAGGCAACCAGAAGCACAGAGCCGGUAAACUCCUCUGUGGUAAAUGACAGAGCAAUGCACCUUUAUGUCACAGCUAAGCCAGGCACUAGAUGGCUUCACUUUGGUUUUUCAGAGGUAAUCAGGAAAACCAAACCCAAGCGGUGCUUAAAGGUAACAACAACAUUGGUAGUGAUUUUUAUGGUAUUAUAAUCAUAGUUCUGGACCUGAAUUAAACCUUGUUCUCAGAAGGCA